rnacentral:rRNA from 1 species
CGAUAUGCUUUGGGUAGCUGUAAGUAAGCGUUGAUCCAGAGAUUUCCGAAUGGGGGAACCCAGCAUGAGUUAUGUCAUGUUAUCGACAUGUGAAUUCAUAGCAUGUCAGAAGGCAGACCCGGAGAACUGAAACAUCUUAGUACCCGGAGGAAGAGAAAGAAAAAUCGAUUCCCUGAGUAGCGGCGAGCGAAACGGGAAGAGCCCAAACCAACAAGCUUGCUUGUUGGGGUUGUAGGACACUCUAUACGGAGUUACAAAAGAACAUGUUAGACGAAUCAUCUGGAAAGAUGAAUCAAAGAAGGUAAUAAUCCUGUAGUCGAAAACAUAUUCUCUCUUGAGUGGAUCCUGAGUACGACGGAGCACGUGAAAUUCCGUCGGAAUCUGGGAGGACCAUCUCCUAAGGCUAAAUACUCUCUAGUGACCGAUAGUGAACCAGUACCGUGAGGGAAAGGUGAAAAGUACCCCGGAAGGGGAGUGAAAGAGAACUUGAAACCGUGUGCUUACAAGUAGUCAGAGCCCGUUAAUGGGUGAUGGCGUGCCUUUUGUAGAAUGAACCGGCGAGUUACGAUCUGAUGCAAGGUUAAGCAGCAAAUGUGGAGCCGCAGCGAAAGCGAGUCUGAAUAGGGCGUUGAGUAUUUGGUCGUAGACCCGAAACCAGGUGAUCUACCCUUGGUCAGGUUGAAGUUCAGGUAACACUGAAUGGAGGACCGAACCGACUUACGUUGAAAAGUGAGCGGAUGAACUGAGGGUAGCGGAGAAAUUCCAAUCGAACUUGGAGAUAGCUGGUUCUCUCCGAAAUAGCUUUAGGGCUAGCCUCAAGUGAUGAUUAUUGGAGGUAGAGCACUGUUUGGACGAGGGGCCCCUCUCGGGUUACCGAAUUCAGACAAACUCCGAAUGCCAAUUAAUUUAACUUGGGAGUCAGAACAUGGGUGAUAAGGUCCGUGUUCGAAAGGGAAACAGCCCAGACCACCAGCUAAGGUCCCAAAAUAUAUGUUAAGUGGAAAAGGAUGUGGCGUUGCCCAGACAACUAGGAUGUUGGCUUAGAAGCAGCCAUCAUUUAAAGAGUGCGUAAUAGCUCACUAGUCGAGUGACACUGCGCCGAAAAUGUACCGGGGCUAAACAUAUUACCGAAGCUGUGGAUUGUCCUUUGGACAAUGGUAGGAGAGCGUUCUAAGGGCGUCGAAGCAUGAUCGCAAGGACAUGUGGAGCGCUUAGAAGUGAGAAUGCCGGUGUGAGUAGCGAAAGACGGGUGAGAAUCCCGUCCACCGAUUGACUAAGGUUUCCAGAGGAAGGCUCGUCCGCUCUGGGUUAGUCGGGUCCUAAGCUGAGGCCGACAGGCGUAGGCGAUGGAUAACAGGUUGAUAUUCCUGUACCACCUAGUAUCGUUUUAAUCGAUGGGGGGACGCAGUAGGAUAGGCGAAGCGUGCUGUUGGAGUGCACGUCCAAGCAGUAAGGCUGAGUGUUAGGCAAAUCCGGCACUCAUAAGGCUGAGCUGUGAUGGGGAGAGGAAAUUGUUUCCUCGAGUCGUUGAUUUCACACUGCCGAGAAAAGCCUCUAGAUAGAUAACAGGUGCCCGUACCGCAAACCGACACAGGUAGUCAAGAUGAGAAUUCUAAGGUGAGCGAGCGAACUCUCGUUAAGGAACUCGGCAAAAUGACCCCGUAACUUCGGGAGAAGGGGUGCUCUUUAGGGUUCACGCCCAGAAGAGCCGCAGUGAAUAGGCCCAAGCGACUGUUUAUCAAAAACACAGGUCUCUGCUAAACCGUAAGGUGAUGUAUAGGGGCUGACGCCUGCCCGGUGCUGGAAGGUUAAGAGGAGUGGUUAGCUUCUGCGAAGCUACGAAUCGAAGCCCCAGUAAACGGCGGCCGUAACUAUAACGGUCCUAAGGUAGCGAAAUUCCUUGUCGGGUAAGUUCCGACCCGCACGAAAGGCGUAACGAUUUGGGCACUGUCUCAACGAGAGACUCGGUGAAAUCAUAGUACCUGUGAAGAUGCAGGUUACCCGCGACAGGACGGAAAGACCCCGUGGAGCUUUACUGUAGCCUGAUAUUGAAAUUCGGCACAGCUUGUACAGGAUAGGUAGGAGCCUUUGAAACGUGAGCGCUAGCUUACGUGGAGGCGUUGGUGGGAUACUACCCUAGCUGUGUUGGCUUUCUAACCCGCACCACUUAUCGUGGUGGGAGACAGUGUCAGGCGGGCAGUUUGACUGGGGCGGUCGCCUCCUAAAAGGUAACGGAGGCGCUCAAAGGUUCCCUCAGAAUGGUUGGAAAUCAUUCAUAGAGUGUAAAGGCAUAAGGGAGCUUGACUGCGAGACCUACAAGUCGAGCAGGGUCGAAAGACGGACUUAGUGAUCCGGUGGUUCCGCAUGGAAGGGCCAUCGCUCAACGGAUAAAAGCUACCCCGGGGAUAACAGGCUUAUCUCCCCCAAGAGUUCACAUCGACGGGGAGGUUUGGCACCUCGAUGUCGGCUCAUCGCAUCCUGGGGCUGUAGUCGGUCCCAAGGGUUGGGCUGUUCGCCCAUUAAAGCGGUACGCGAGCUGGGUUCAGAACGUCGUGAGACAGUUCGGUCCCUAUCCGUCGUGGGCGUAGGAAAUUUGAGAGGAGCUGUCCUUAGUACGAGAGGACCGGGAUGGACAUACCUCUGGUGUACCAGUUGUCGUGCCAACGGCAUAGCUGGGUAGCUAUGUAUGGACGGGAUAAGUGCUGAAAGCAUCUAAGCAUGAAGCCCCCCUCAAGAUGAGAUUUCCCAACUUCGGUUAUAAGAUCCCUCGAAGAUGACGAGGUUAAUAGGUUCGAGGUGGAAGCGUGGUGACACGUGGAGCUGACGAAUACUAAUCGAUCGAAGACUUAAUCAAUUUUUUAAA